rnacentral:rRNA from 1 species
UACGUAGGGGGCAAGCGUUGUCCGGAAUCAUUGGGCGUAAAGCGCGCGUAGGCGGCCCUGUAAGUCCGCUGUGAAAGUCAAAGGCUCAACCUUUGAAAGCCGGUGGAUACUGCAGGGCUAGAGUCCGGAAGAGGCGAGUGGAAUUCCUGGUGUAGCGGUGGAAUGCGCAGAUAUCAGGAGGAACACCAAUAGCGAAGGCAGCGCGCUGGGACGGUACUGACGCUAAGGCGCGAAAGCGUGGGGAGCGAACAGG